GCGGCUUGCCCUGCCCCGGGGGGCUGCGGGGGCACUGCGGUGCCCCUAUAACAAAACGCACGUCUUCUUGUCCUUGAAUGGGUUCUCAGAAGCAGGGAUGCCCAUCAGCAGCGGAUCCUUCUUGGCGUGUUCUUCGCAGUAGAGCAUUAGGUCUGCUGAUGCCUUUGACACCUUUAUUCUUUCUAUUGAGGCCUCUAUUCUCAGCUGCUGGACAGUCCUCCGGGCCUGAGCUAUGUUGUUGGUGGUGCUGGCUGUUUUACCCGACAUUUUCAGCGAGCCGGCGAUGCUAGCAUGUAAAGCGGGAGCAGUCAGCAGUCAAAGCACCAGACUGGGAGUCACAAGACGCUGCCCGGC
rnacentral:lncRNA from 1 species